UUUUCUUUUUUCUUAGAUUUUACAGGUUUACCUGUGACUCUUUUGUUAGAAAAAUAAAAUAGUGUUUAGCAGUUGAGAACUUCAUGUGGUGACUACUCAAAACCUGUGUGUGAUUGCAAAAUUUUGUUUGCUUUUUAAGAAUAUUAGCUACCUCUUCAUUUCUCGAAAUGGUUAUUUCAUCAUUUUGAUUUUCACAGAAUCUGAAGAAGACAUGGCCCAGACUGAGACAAAUGAGGCAGAUGAUAAAGCACCAAGUCCUGAGCAGCUAAAUGAUAAGAUAGCUGAAGAAGUUGAAAAAGAAGAAGCAGAAGACAUUUCAACAACUGAAGAGUCUAUCUCAGAAUCUAUUUCACCUGAACAAAGUGAAGAAUCUUUAGGGAAAGCAGAAUAAAGUACUUCAAGUGCCUUCUGUAGCUAGUUUUUAGCUUUGUCAUGCCUGUUGUUACUAUUCAGAGAUGCUGGAUUUGUAGAAAACUCAAGCAACAAAGACCUUCCAGCUCUCCCGAAAUGGUCUGCUCUCUAAUUCCUUGCAUCGCUUCAAAGAGUUCUACUCAGUUGACGAAACUUAAUUUUAACUUGUUCAGCACACAAAGAAAAACAUUUUACAAAAACACCAAGAAAAUUCAUUUUAAGAAAACUGUUAUAAAUGAUGUUUUAGAGGAAAUGUGAAAGUUGGUAUUUCUUAAAGAAUGUUUGUAUUUUUUGUAUAUUGAACUUUUAUUUAAACAGAAGAUCCUGUAUAUCCUGUAGAUCCUGUAUAUUUAUAGUUCUUGCUGUUGUAGUAGCCUUGUUGUCGCAUUAGUAAAAGGGUAUGUAUGUUUAUGUACUACAAAUAGUACCUUUAAGCAGAAGUAUAAUUUUAAUCCUAGCUGUGGCCUUGACCAGUAGUUAUAUCACCUGCAGUUGAAACUCCAUUAAAAUUGCUCCAUUAAAGUCACUGGCAAAGACAUUAAUUAGUAUGAAUUCUUAGGGUCUGAUAGACUUCAUGAAAUGUCUGUCUUAGCUUUUCUGCUUGUAAUUGAGAAAAUAUUUAAACUUGUGCUCUCCUUUUGAAAUUUAGUAUUUUACCAAAUGAAGCAAAUUUUAAAGAGUA
rnacentral:lncRNA from 1 species